rnacentral:ncRNA from 1 species
GGACGAACCCUUGGAGAGAUCCACUCUGCGUAAAUUUGCUAAAUCGCAGAAAAUGGACGCCGAAGGCGAAAAUGCAGAUAGCCUUAUCUGCGUGAAACGCUCAGGCAAAAGGACAGGGGAGAAAAG